CCUACGGGAGGCUGCAGUGAGGAAUAUUGGUCAAUGGUCGGGAGACUGAACCAGCCAUGCCGCGUGCGGGAGGAAGGUACAGAGUAUCGUAAACCGCUUUUGUCAGAGGACAAAGGCUGGGACGCGUAUCCGGCUGAGAGUAUCGGACGAAAAAGCAUCGGCUAACUCCGUGCCAGCAGCCGCGGUAAUACGGAGGGUGCGAGCGUUACCCGGAAUUACUGGGCGUAAAGAGCGCGUAGGCGGGCUAGCAAGUCAGAGGUGAAAUCCUGUGGCUUAACCACAGACCGGCAUUUGAAACUGUCAUUCUAGAGUAUGAGAGAGGUAGGCGGAAUGCUUGGUGUAGCGGUAAAAUCCGUAGAGAUCAAGCGGAACACUGAUUGCGAAGGCGACAUGCCAGCACAUCACUGACGCUGAGGCGCGAAAGCGUGGGUAGCGAACAGGAUUAGAUACCCGAGUAGUC
rnacentral:rRNA from 1 species